UAGCUCAGAGGUUAAGAGCACUGGCUGUUCUUCCAGAGGACCUGAGUUCAAUUCUCAG
rnacentral:tRNA from 1 species